GGGGAAAUAAAGCUCAGGCAAAAUAUCUGCAGCUCUGGGGGUACGUGCUCUUACAUUGUGGGUGCUUGUUUCUGCCAGCUCAGUUUCAGAGUUCAUGCAGUUACUGAGUUACAGCAGUAACAUGCACCAGCAGAGUUGCAGUGGUUGUUGAGGUGGGCUGCUGUAGCAAGUGGGAGAGGCUAAGACCCACCUGGAGACUGUUCUCUUGGCUCAGAGCUGACAGGCAGGAAAGUCUGGAUGCUACCAAGGAAAUAUCUAUGAGGACUGCAUCCUCAGAAGAAUCUGCAAGGAGCCUUGGAUGUGUCCACAUCCUCAUCCUGACCCCUAGAAUCAAAAGGUUUUUUUUAAAUUUGGUUAAAGAGACUUUGGACCAUUAUUAUUUGUGGGGUUAAUUUAAGUAUUUCAGAGAAUCAAAAAGAUAAGGGGAAAAAAAAAAAAAAAAAAAC
rnacentral:lncRNA from 1 species